rnacentral:rRNA from 1 species
GUGCCAGCCGCCGCGGUAAUACCGGCAGCUCGAGUGAUGGCCGAUUUUAUUGGGCCUAAAGUGUCCGUAGCUGGCCGAGCAAGUCCAUCGGGAAAUCCGCCAGCCCAACUGGCGGGCGUCCGGCGGAAACUGCACGGCUCGGGACCGGAAGACCCGAAGGGUACGUCUUGGGUAGGAGUGAAAUCCCAUAAUCCUGGACGGACCACCGAUGGCGAAAGCACUUCGGGAAGACGGAUCCGACAGUGAGGGACGAAAGCCAGGGUCUCGAACCGGAUUAGAAACCCCUGUAGUCC